rnacentral:rRNA from 1 species
AGUGAACGCUGGCGGUAGGCCUAACACAUGCAAGUCGAACGGCAGCACAGUAAGAGCUUGCUCUUACGGGUGGCGAGUGGCGGACGGGUGAGGAAUACAUCGGAAUCUACUUUUUCGUGGAGGAUAACGUAGGGAAACUUACGCUAAUACCGCAUACGACCUACGGGUGAAAGCAGGGGAUCUUCGGACCUUGCGCGAUUGAAUGAGCCGAUGUCGGAUUAGCUAGUUGGCGGGGUAAAGGCCCACCAAGGCGACGAUCCGUAGCUGGUCUGAGAGGAUGAUCAGCCACACUGGAACUGAGACACGGUCCAGACUCCUACGGGAGGCAGCAGUGGGGAAGAUUGGACAAUGGGCGCAAGCCUGAUCCAGCCAUACCGCGUGGGUGAAGAAGGCCUUCGGGUUGUAAAGCCCUUUUGUUGGGAAAGAAAAGCAGCAGGUUAAUACCCCGCUGUUCUGACGGUACCCAAAGAAUAAGCACCGGCUAACUUCGU